GACGAACGCUGGCGGCGUGCUUAACACAUGCAAGUCGAACGGUGAAGCUCCAGCUUGCUGGAGUGGAUCAGUGGCGAACGGGUGAGUAACACGUGAGCAACCUGCCCCUGACUCUGGAAUAAGCGCUGGAAACGGCGUCUAAUACUGGAUACGAGAAGGGUCCGCAUGGGCACUUUCUGGAAAGUUUUUCGGUUGGGGAUGGGCUCGCGGCCUAUCAGCUUGUUGGUGAGGUAAUGGCUCACCAAGGCGACGACGGGUAGCCGGCCUGAGAGGGCGACCGGCCACACUGGGACUGAGACACGGCCCAGACUCCUACGGGAGGCAGCAGUGGGGAAUAUUGCACAAUGGGCGAAAGCCUGAUGCAGCGACGCCGCGUGAGGGAUGACGGCCUUCGGGUUGUAAACCUCUUUCAGCAGGGAAGAAGCGAGAGUGACGGUACCUGCAGAAGAAGCACCGGCUAACUACGUG
rnacentral:rRNA from 1 species